rnacentral:rRNA from 1 species
ACUCCUACGGGAGGCAGCAGUAGGGAAUCUUCCACAAUGGGCGCAAGCCUGAUGGAGCAACACCGCGUGAGUGAAGAAGGGUUUCGGCUCGUAAAGCUCUGUUGUUAAAGAAGAACACGUAUGAGAGUAACUGUUCAUACGUUGACGGUAUUUAACCAGAAAGUCACGGCUAACUACGUGCCAGCAGCCGCGGUAAUAC